rnacentral:lncRNA from 1 species
UACAGCUCUUAAAGCAUCUCCCCAGAGCCUGGGACCCACCUGGGGCAUUGAGGACAUCGAGGGCCCGAUUUUAUCAGAAGUUCAGAGAAAUGACGCGUCUCCAUUGAGAAAACUAGUCAGAGAUGAGCUGGGCCUCGAACACACGAUCUCUGAUGCCAAAUUCGUUGCUCAGUAAUGAGACAGGCUGGGACCCGGGACUGUUUACCAGAGCGCUUGCACCUGGACAUACACGAGGGCACACGUGGGGGCAAUCAUGAACAAUGAGCUGCGGAAGGCCACAAACCAACCACCAGGGCUGAGGCUCGGAAGAGUCCAAGGACUCGGGUCAGUGCUAUACUUGGCGACCACCCUCGUGGGCUGUCCGUGGGGCCUUUGCCUCUUCCCUGGGAGAGGAUGCAGGCACCUCCGGGACCAUCGAACAAGCUUCCCUGAGCGGCCGGGACCCCUUGCUUCAGCUUCUCCCGUUCGGGGAUGCCGGUUCAAUCCCUGGUCCAGGAAGACCCACAUACCAUGGGGCAACUAAGCCUGCACCAACAACUGAGCCCGUGUGCCGCGACUGCAGAGGCCGAGCGCCUGCGCCGCACAAGAGAAGCCGCCGCAACGAGAAGCCUGUGCACCACGGUGAAGAGCAGCCCCUACGCACAAAACUGGAGACAGCUCACCAGCAACAAGGGCCCAGCACAGCCAAAAUAAAUAAGUACAUAAAUAUAUUUUUUAAAGGAGC